rnacentral:rRNA from 1 species
ACGCUAGCGAUAGGCUUAACACAUGCAAGUCGAGGGGCAGCAUGGUCUUAGCUUGCUAAGACUGAUGGCGACCGGCGCACGGGUGCGUAACGCGUAUGCAACUUGCCUCACAGAGGGGGAUAACCCGUCGAAAGACGGACUAAUACCGCGUACACUCCACUUUGGGCAUCCAAAGUAGAGGAAAUGAAAUUCGCUGUGAGAUAGGCAUGCGUCCCAUUAGCUAGUUGGUGAGGUAACGGCUCACCAAGGCGACGAUGGGUAGGGGAACUGAGAGGUUGAACCCCCACACUGGUACUGAGACACGGACCAGACUCCUACGGGAGGCAGCAGUGAGGAAUAUUGGUCAAUGGGCGAGAGCCUGAACCAGCCAAGUCGCGUGAAGGAUGACUGUCUUAUGGAUUGUAAACUUCUUUUAUACGGGAAUAACAAGAGCCACGUGUGGCUCCCUGCAUGUACCGUAUGAAUAAGCAUCGGCUAACUCCGUGCCAGCAGCCGCGGUAAUACGGAGGAUGCGAGCGUUAUCCGGAUUUAUUGGGUUUAAAGGGUGCGUAGGCGGCCUGUUAAGUCAGCGGUGAAAUCUAGGAGCUUAACACCUAAAUUGCCAUUGAUACUGGCGGGCUUGAGUGUAGAUGAGGUAGGCGGAAUGCGUGGUGUAGCGGUGGAAUGCAUAGAUAUCACACAGAACUCCGAUUGCGAAGGCAGCUUACUAAGGUACAACUGACGCUGAAGCACGAAAGCGUGGGUAUCAAACAGGAUUAGAUACCCUGGUAGUCCACGCAGUAAACGAUGAUAACUGGGCGUAUGCGAUAUACAGUAUGCUCCUAAGCGAAAGCGUUAAGUUAUCCACCUGGGGAGUACGCCGGCAACGGUGAAACUCAAAGGGAAUUGACGGGGGCCCGCACAAGCGGAGGAACAUGUGG